CGGGACACGUGGUAUCCUGUCUGAAUAUGGGGGGACCAUCCUCCAAGGCUAAAUACUCCUGACUGACCGAUAGUGAACCAGUACCGUGAGGGAAAGGCGAAAAGAACCCCGGCGAGGGGAGUGAAAAAGAACCUGAAACCGUGUACGUACAAGCAGUGGGAGCCUCUUAAUGGGGUGACUGCGUACCUUUUGUAUAAUGGGUCAGCGACUUAUAUUCUGUAGCAAGGUUAACCGAAUAGGGGAGCCGAAGGGAAACCGAGUCUUAACUGGGCGUUAAGUUGCAGGGUAUAGACCCGAAACCCGGUGAUCUAGCCAUGGGCAGGUUGAAGGUUGGGUAACACUAACUGGAGGACCGAACCGACUAAUGUUGAAAAAUUAGCGGAUGACUUGUGGCUGGGGGUGAAAGGCCAAUCAAACCGGGAGAUAGCUGGUUCUCCCCGAAAGCUAUUUAGGUAGCGCCUCGUGAAUUCAUCUCCGGGGGUAGAGCACUGUUUCGGCAAGGGGGUCAUCCCGACUUACCAACCCGAUGCAAACUGCGAAUACCGGAGAAUGUUAUCACGGGAGACACACGGCGGGUGCUAACGUCCGUCGUGAAGAGGGAAACAACCCAGACCGCCAGCUAAGGUCCCAAAGUCAUGGUUAAGUGGGAAACGAUGUGGGAAGGCCCAGACAGCCAGGAUGUUGGCUUAGAAGCAGCCAUCAUUUAAAGAAAGCGUAAUAGCUCACUGGUCGAGUCGGCCUGCGCGGAAGAUGUAACGGGGCUAAACCAUGCACCGAAGCUGCGGCAGCGACACUAUGUGUUGUUGGGUAGGGGAGCGUUCUGUAAGCCUGUGAAGGUGUACUGUGAGGUAUGCUGGAGGUAUCAGAAGUGCGAAUGCUGACAUAAGUAACG
rnacentral:rRNA from 1 species